GACAGAGGGUGCAAACGUUGUUCGGAAUUACUGGGCGUAAAGCGCGUGUAGGCGGCUCGGAAAGUCGGAUGUGAAAGCCCUGGGCUUAACCUAGGAAGUGCAUUCGAAACUCCCGAGCUUGAGUUCUGGAGAGGAAGGCGGAAUUCUCGGUGUAGAGGUGAAAUUCGUAGAUAUCGAGAGGAACACCGGUGGCGAAGGCGGCCUUCUGGACAGUGACUGGCGCUGAGACGCGAAAGCGUGGGGAGCAAACAGG
rnacentral:rRNA from 1 species